ensembl:snRNA U6 U6 spliceosomal RNA
AUGCUCACUUCAGCAGCACAUCUACUAAAAUUGGAAUGAUACAGAAAUCAGUGUGGCCCUUAAGCAAGGAUGACACGCAAAUUUAUGAAGUGUUCUAUAUUUAA